rnacentral:rRNA from 1 species
UUAGAAGCUUGCUUCUAUGACGUUAGCGGCGGACGGGUGAGUAACACGUGGGCAACCUGCCUGUAAGACUGGGAUAACUCCGGGAAACCGGAGCUAAUACCGGAUAACAUUUUCUCUAGCAUAAGAGAGAAUUGAAAGAUGGUUUCGGCUAUCACUUACAGAUAGGCCCGCGGUGCAUUAGCUAGUUGGUGAGGUAACGGCUCACCAAGGCAACGAUGCAUAGCCGACCUGAGAGGGUGAUCGGCCACACUGGGACUGAGACACGGCCCAGACUCCUACGGGAGGCAGCAGUAGGGAAUCUUCCGCAAUGGACGAAGGUCUGACGGAGCAACGCCGCGUGAGUGAUGAAGGCUUUCGGGUCGUAAAACUCCGUUGUUAGGGAAGAACAAGUACAAGAGUAACUGCUUGUACCUUGACGGUACCUAACCAGAAAGCCACGGCUAACUACGUGCCAGCAGCCGCGGUAAUACGUAGGUGGCAAGCGUUAUCCGGAAUUAUUGGGGGUAAAGCGCGCGCAGGCGGUUUCUUAAGUCUGAUGUGAAAGCCCACGGCUCAACCGUGGAGGGUCAUUGGAAACUGGGGAACUUGAGUGCAGAAGAGAAAAGCGGAAUUCCACGUGUAGCGGUGAAAUGCGUAGAGAUGUGGAGGAACACCAGUGGCGAAGGCGGCUUUUUGGUCUGUAACUGACGCUGAGGCGCGAAAGCGUGGGGAGCAAACAGGAUUAGAUACCCUGGUAGUCCACGCCGUAAACGAUGAGUGCUAGUGUUAGAGGGUUUCCGCCCUUUAGUGCUGCAGCUAACGCAUUAAGCACUCCGCCUGGGGAGUACGGUCGCAAGACUGAAACUCGAAGGAAUUGACGGGGGCCCGCACAAGCGGUGGAGCGUGUGGUUUAAUUCGAAG